rnacentral:rRNA from 1 species
UACGGAGGGAGCUAGCGUUGUUCGGAAUUACUGGGCGUAAAGCGCACGUAGGCGGCUUUUUAAGUCAGGGGUGAAAUCCCGGGGCUCAACCCCGGAACUGCCCUUGAAACUGGAAGGCUAGAAUCUUGGAGAGGCGAGUGGAAUUCCGAGUGUAGAGGUGAAAUUCGUAGAUAUUCGGAAGAACACCAGUGGCGAAGGCGAC